rnacentral:Y_RNA from 1 species
CACUGGUCUGAGUGCAGUUUACAACCAAUUGGUCACAACCAGGUAAGUUUCUUUGUUCCUUCAUCCAUUCCCACUGCUUUACUUGGCUAGCCUUAA